rnacentral:rRNA from 1 species
ACGAACCCAGGUCAGGCGGGAUUAACCACUGAGUUUCAGCAUACAAAUAAGUGGAGAAAAAUAAACUUAUAAGGAUUCCCUUAGUAACGGCGAGCGUACCGGGAACAGCCUAGCCUUAAAAAUGGGUGGCUCCAUCAUCCGAAUUGUUGUUUGGAGAAGUGUCCUCGGCGGACGAGCCGGCCCAAAUCCCCUGGAAGGGGGAGCCAGAGAGAGCGAGAGCCAUAUUGUGCCUGGACCCUACCGCACCACGAGGCACUGUCUACGAGUCGAGUUGUUUGGGAAUGCUGCCCAAAUCAGGUGGUGCAUUCCGUCCAAGGCUAAAUACAAGUGACAGACCGAUAGCGAACAAGUACCGCGAGGGAAAGAUGAAAAAGACUUUGAAAAGAGAGUCAAAGAGUGCUUGAAAUUAUCAGGAGGGAAGCAGAUGGGGGCCGGAGAUGCGCACUGAUCGGAUGUGGAAUGGCAACGAUCCGGUCCGUCGAUCGACUCGGGGCAUGGAGCAGUGUGGAUUGGGGGAAUCCAAAGCCCGGGUUCUCGACGCUUGUGGAACACCGUAUCCUCGAUUGUGGCAAGCAGCGCGCGCCUCCAUCGUGCUUCAGCAUCUACACGCUACGGACGCUGGCCUGUGGCUCCCCAUUUGACCCGUCUUAAAAAAUUGACCAAGGAGUCUGACAUGUGUGAGAGUCAACAGGCGAGUAAACCCGUAAGGCAUAAAGAAGCUGAUUGGUGGUAUCCCCCCGAGGGGUGCACCACCGACCGACCUUGAUCUUCUGAGAAGGGUUCAAGUGUGAGCAUACCUAUCGAGACCCGAAAGUUGGUGAAAUAUGCCUGAGCGAGGCAAAGCCAUAGGAAACUCUGGUGGAGGACCGCAGCGAUACUGACAUGCAAAUCAUUCGUAUGACUCUCUUUGUCGAGCCGUGCCACAAAAUCAAGAGCUCCAAGUGGGCCAUUUUUGGUAAGCAGAACUGGCUAUGCGGGAUAAAUCAAAAGUCGGGUUACGGUGCCAAACUACACGCUAACCUAGAUCCCGCAAAGGGUGUUGGUCGAUUAAGACAGCACAACGGUGGUCAUGGAAGUCAAAAUCUGCUAAGGAGUGUGUAACAACUCACCUACCGAAUUAACUAGCCCCGAAAAUGAAUGGCGCUUAAGCGCGUGACCUACACCCGACGUCGGGGAAAGUUCCAGGCCCCGAUAAGUAGGAGGGCGCAAUGGUCGCUACAAAACCUUGGGCGCGAGCCCAGGAAGAGCGACGUUCGGUGCAGAUAUUGGGGGUAGUAGUAAAUAUUCAAAUGAGAACUUUGAUGGCCGUUGAGAGGAAAGGUUCCAUGUGAACAACACUUGCACAUGGGUUAGUCGAUCCUAAGGGUCAGGGGAACCACGACAGAUAGCGCGUUUUGUGCGUACUCCAAAAGAGAAUAGGGUUUAAAUUCCUGGACUGGGAUGUGGCGGUCGAAGGCAAUGUUAGAAUGUCUGGUGACGUAGGCGGGAGCCUUAGGAAGAGUAAUCUUUUCUGUUUUACAGCCUGCCCACCCUGGAAUUGGCUAAUCCGGAAGUAAGGUCCAGCAGCUGGAAGAGCAUCGCACGUCGCGCGGUGUUUGGUGCACUACCAGCGUCCUUUGAAAAUCCAGAGGACCGAUUGCCGUCCAUGCUAGGUCGUACUCAUAAUCACAUCAGGUCUCAAAGGGGAACAUCCUCUGAUUGAUGGAACAAUAUAAGCAAGGAAAGUCAACAAAAUGGAUCCAUAACUUCUGGAAAAGGAUUGGCACUAAGGGCUGGGCACGGGGGUCCCAAUCCCGAACCCGUCGACUGUCGGUGGACUACUCGAGCUGCUUCCACAGUGAGAGCGGGUCGCCACGUGCCAGUUGGGGGAUAGACUAGGAACGGUUCCUUCGGGGGCCUUCCCCGCGCGUCGAACAUCCAACUCAGAACUGGUACGGAUAAGGAGAAUCCGAAUGUUUAAUUAAACAAAGCAUUGCGAUGGUCCUAACGGAUGUUCACGCAUUGUGAUUUUUGCUCAGUGCUCUUAAUGUCAAAGUGAAUAAAUUUAACUAAGCAUGGGUAAACGGCGGGAGUAACUAUGACUCUCUUAAGGUAGCCAAAUGCCUCAUAAUCUAAUUAGUGACGCGCAUGAAUGGUUUAAAGAGAUUCCCACUAUCCCUGUCUACUAUCCAGCGAAGCCACAACCAAGGGAAUGGGCUUGGCAGAAUCAGCGGGGAAAGAAGAACCUCUUGAGAUUGACUCUACUCUGACUUUGUAAAAUGACUUGAGAUGUGUAGUAUAAGUGGGAGCCGAAAGGCGAAAGUUAAAUACCACUACUUUUAAUGUUAUUUUACUUAUUCCAUGAAUCGGAAGCGGGGCACUACCCCUCUUUUUGGACCCAAGGCUCGCUCUGCGGGUCAAUCUAGGCAGAAGACAUUGUUAGGUGGGGAUUUUGGUUGGGGCGGCAUAUCUGUUAAAAGAUAACGCAGGUGUUCUAAGAUGAGCUCAACGAGAACAGAAAAUCAUGUGGAACAGAAAGGUAAAAGCUCAUUUGAUUUUGAUUUCCAGUAUGAAUACGAACCAUUAAAGUGUGGCCUAGCGAUCCUUUAGACCUUCGAAAUUUGAAGUUAGAGGUGUUAGAAAAGUGUUACCAUAGGGAUAACUGGCAUGUUGCAGCUAAGCGUUCAUAGCGAAGUUGCUUUUUCAUCCUUUGAUGUCGGCUCUUCCUAUCAUUGUGAAGAAGAAUUCACCAAGUAUUGGGCUGUUCACCCACCAAUAGGGGAGAUGAGCUAGGUAUAGACCAUCGUGAGACAAGUUUUACCCUACUUAUGACAGUGUCGCAGUAGUAAUUCAACCUAGUACUAGAGGAAAUGUUGAAUCACAUAAUUUGUCGUUGCACUUGGUUGAAAAGCCAGUGGUGCAAAGCAACCGUGUACUGGAUUAUGACUGAACACCUCUAAGUUAGAAUCCGAGCUAGAAGCGAUGCAUGCACCCGCUGUCCACUUGCCGACCCGCAGUAGGGUCCUCAGCCCCCAAGGGCAGGUGUCAUUUUCUAAGACACCGCGGCGGAAGAGUCGCGGUGGCCGACUUGAAGUAUAAUUUCUAUCGAACGGCGGGUAGAAUCCUUUGCAAAUGACUUAAAUAUGCGGCUGUGUAUUGUAAGUGGAAGAGUGACCUUGCUGCUAUGAUCCACUGAGAUACAUUCCUUUGUUGCUCCGGUUCGU